rnacentral:lncRNA from 1 species
GCGACAGCGAAAAUUCAGCUGAGGAGUCGCAGUCUGAGGGAGAGGAAUCAGACAUUGAAAUCCAGGACUUGCAGGGAAAUUUUAACAGGCUGCGUUUAACACCGCCUGCCCAGGCUAUUAGAAUUCGGCCAUUGUCUGCUAAAAGGAUGGUGAGUCUUCGGAGCAAAAGUGCAGAGGCUCGAGAGAGUAAAUCAUUGCCUGAAUUUUACAAGAAAAAAGGAGGGAUGUGUGGGAAUCCGUUCUCGCACUGAUUGAGCUAUCUUCCUGGCUGGUGUGAGGCGCUCAGAUAAGCAAGCUGUGUUAGACUGUGGGAAGCCAUUCUCGCACGUGACUGGGUGACUCCCCGUUUGGGUCUGAGGCGCUCUGGCUAACUGUGUCGGAGCUUUCCCGGCCCUCUCCUGAUGAGAGAGCCUGUCCAUGUGGGGGUGUGACUGACCACUGACCCUGAGGCCACUCACUGACUCUGACCUUGGAAUGCUGCCCCCCUCGACCUUCAUUGGAUGGAAUUUUCCCCUGAAUUUUUUGUUCCCCAAUAAAAGCUCACUUUCUGGCGUGC